GUGCCAGCCGCCGCGGUAAUACGGAGGGUGCAAGCGUUAUCCGGAAUCACUGGGUUUAAAGGGUGCGUAGGCGGCUAUGUAAGUCAGUUGUGAAAUACCUCGGCUUAACCGAAGGAAGUGCGAUUGAUACUGCGUAGCUUGAAUCAGGUUGAGGUAGGCGGAAUGUGACAUGUAGCGGUGAAAUGCUUAGAUAUGUCAUAGAACACCGAUUGCGAAGGCAGCUUACUGGGCUUUGAUUGACGCUGAGGCACGAAAGCGUGGGGAGCAAACAGGAUUAGAAACCCCGGUAGUCC
rnacentral:rRNA from 1 species